CUGCGGAGGAUCAUUACAGAAUUUUGAGAGGGGUUGUAGCUGGCCGGAAGGCAUGUGCACGCCUCGAUCAUCAUCCAUCUCACACCUGUGCACAUACUGUAGGUCGGUUUGUGGGGUGAAGUCUUCAUUGAUUUCGCUCUGUGGGCCUUCCUAUGUUUUAUUACAAACUACUAGUUUCAAGAAUGUCUAGUGCGUGUAACGCAUUUAUAUACAACUUUCAGCAACGGAUCUCUUGGCUCUCGCAUCGAUGAAGAACGCAGCGAAAUGCGAUAAGUAAUGUGAAUUGCAGAAUUCAGUGAAUCAUCGAAUCUUUGAACGCACCUUGCGCUCCUUGGUAUUCCGAGGAGCAUGCCUGUUUGAGUGUCAUGGAAUUCUCAACUUCAUUUGCUUUUGUGAAUGAAGCUUGGACUUGGAGGUUGUUGCUGGCCAUAUGGAUCGGCUCCUCUUGAAUAUAUUAGCUCGAACCUUUGUGGAUCAGCUUCGGUGUGAUAAUUGUCUACGCCGUUCUGUAAAGCAUAGCUAUAGGUUUCGGCUUCUAAUAGUCCUUCGCUGGACAAUAUCUUUGACCUUUGACCUCAAAUCAGGUAGGAUUACCCGCUGAACUUAAGCAUAUCAA
rnacentral:rRNA from 1 species